rnacentral:rRNA from 1 species
UCGGAAUCACUGGGCGUAAAGGGUGCGUAGGCGGGUCUUUAAGUCAGGGGUGAAAUCCUGGAGCUCAACUCCAGAACUGCCUUUGAUACUGAAGAUCUUGAGUUCGGGAGAGGUGAGUGGAACUGCGAGUGUAGAGGUGAAAUUCGUAGAUAUUCGCAAGAACACCAGUGGCGAAGGCGGCUCACUGGCCCGAUACUGACGCUGAGGCACGAAAGCGUGGGGAGCAAACAGG